rnacentral:rRNA from 1 species
GCAGGCUGAAACCCGCCUGUAUGAAGUCGGAAUUGCUAGUAAUCGCGGAUCAGCAUGCCGCGGUGAAUACGUUCCCGGGCCUUGUACACACCGCCCGUCACACCAUGAGAGCCGGUAACACCCGAAGUCAGUAGCCUAACCGCAAGGAGGGCGCUGCCGAAGGUGGGAUUGGUAAUUGGGGUGAAGUCGUAACAAGGUAGC